CCCAAAUGAUGAGCCUCACGACGGGCGGACAGAGCCUCUGUGCUGAUUGUCGCUUUCUGAUCGG